AAUCGAACUUGGAGAUAGCUGGUUCUCUCCGAAAUAGCUUUAGGGCUAGCCUCAAGUGAUGAUUAUUGGAGGUAGAGCACUGUUUGGACGAGGGGCCCCUCUCGGGUUACCGAAUUCAGACAAACUCCGAAUGCCAAAUAAUUUAACUUGGGAGUCAGAAUGUGGGUGAUAAGGUCCAUAUUCGAAAGGGAAACAGCCCAGACCACCAGCUAAGGUCCCAAAAUAUAUGUUAAGUGGAAAAGGAUGUGGCGUUGCCCAGACAACUAGGAUGUUGGCUUAGAAGCAGCCAUCAUUUAAAGAGUGCGUAAUAGCUCACUAGUCGAGUGACACUGCGCCGAAAAUGUACCGGGGCUAAACAUAUUACCGAAGCUGUGGAUUGUCCUUUGGACAAUGGUAGGAGAGCGUUCUAAGGGCGUUGAAGCAUGAUCGCAAGGACAUGUGGAGCGCUUAGAAGUGAGAAUGCCGGUGUGAGUAGCGAAAGACGGGUGAGAAUCCCGUCCACCGAUUGACUAAGGUUUCCAGAGGAAGGCUCGUCCGCUCUGGGUUAGUCGGGUCCUAAGCUGAGGCCGACAGGCGUAGGCGAUGGAUAACAGGUUGAUAUUCCUGUACCACCAUUAUUCGUUUUAAGCGAUGGGGGGACGCAGUAGGAUAGGCGAAGCGUGCUGUUGGAG
rnacentral:rRNA from 1 species